AGCCGCAUAGCUCAAUGGUAGAGCGCCUGGUUUCUCCCCCCCCCUAAUCCGACCACGAAGACCUAACAGCAUCAUUACUCUUCCCAGGAGACGGUGGUUCGAUUCCAUCUGUGGCUA
rnacentral:tRNA from 1 species